CGGGGGGCAGCAGUAGGGAAUUUUGCACAAUGGGCGCAAGCCUGAUGCAGCAACGCCGCGUGAGUGAAGAAGGCUCUUGGGUUGUAAAGCUCUUUCGGCCAAGAAGAAGGGUCUACUUGCGAACAGUCUGUAGAUCUGACGGUACUGGAAGAAGAAGGACCUGCUAACUACGUGCCAGCAGCAGCGGUAAUACGUAGGGUCCAAGCGUUGUUCGGAAUUACUGGGCGUAAAGCGCGCGUAGGCGGGCUUAUAAGUUGAUUGUGAAAGCCCCGGGCUUAACCUGGGACGUGCAGUCAAAACUGUAAGUCUUGAAUGUCUGAGAGGAUGGCGGAAUUCCCGGUGUAGUAGUGAAAUACGUAGAUAUCGGGAAGAACACCUGAGGCGAAGGCGGCUAUCUGGCGGUACAUUGACGCUGAGGCGCGAAAGCGUGGGGAGCAAACAGGAUUAGAUACCCGAGU
rnacentral:rRNA from 1 species